UUGUUUUAUCACUCACUGAAAAACUUCAAUAACUUACUUGUUUGAUUUAAAAGAGGUAAGAUUUUUUUCUUAACAGUAAUCAAGGAAUACUGCUCAAGAAUUUGAAAACAGUUCUAGAAACUAUCAUAUUAUCUCCUGGAUGUGUAAUGUCAGCUACAAAGCUACCAACAAUACCCUGACUAGCGUAAAAGCUACAUUAUAUGCAUAAUGUUAGUCUGAAUAAGUCUAUCAGAAAAUGUCUAGCUAUAAACCAAAAUAAUUCAGUUAUCCUCAGAUGCACUCUUA